rnacentral:rRNA from 1 species
UGUAAGCGUAUACCAAAGUUGUUGCAGUUAAAACGCUCGUAGUCGGAAUUUGGCAGUUCCGGAUGUGUGCACGUCGUGUGCGCACUUCGCGGGGAUUGCUUUUGUGGUCUUGCGUAGGAUGAGGCACUUUUAUUAGUGAACGUCCUCACGCAACCACUUUUUACUGUGAGAAAAUCAGAGUGCUCAAAGCAGGCAAUUGCCGUGAAUGUAUUAGCAUGGAAUAAUAGAAUAGGACUUGGUUCUAUUUUGUUGGUCUGUUGGGACUGAGUAAUGAUUAAGAGGGACAGUUGGGGGCAUUUGUAUUUCGGUGCUAGAGGUGAAAUUCUUAGAUUACCGAAAGACAAACUGCUGCGAAAGCGUCUGCCAAGGAUGUUUUCAUUGA